rnacentral:rRNA from 1 species
UUAAGCGAACAAGCGUACACGGUGGAUGCCCUGGCAGUCAGAGGCGAUGAAGGACGUGCUAAUCUGCGAAAAGCGCCGGUAAGGUGAUAUGAACCGUUAUAACCGGCGAUGUCCGAAUGGGGAAACCCGGUGCACUUCGGUGCAUCAUCGUUAGCUGAAUACAUAGGCUAACGAGGCGAACCGGGGGAACUGAAACAUCUAAGUACCCCGAGGAAAAGAAAUCAACCGAGAUUCCCCCAGUAGCGGCGAGCGAACGGGGAACAGCCCAGAGCCUGAAUCAGCUUGUGUGUCAGUGGAACGGUCUGGAAAGGCCGGCGAUACAGGGUGACAGCCCCGUACACGAAGGCACACAGGCUGUGAGCUCGAUGAGUAGGGCGGGACACGUGAUAUCCUGUCUGAAGAUGGGGGGACCAUCCUCCAAGGCUAAAUACUCCUGACUGACCGAUAGUGAACCAGUACCGUGAGGGAAAGGCGAAAAGAACCCCGGCGAGGGGAGUGAAACAGAACCUGAAACCGUGUACGUACAAGCAGUGGGAGCCUUCGUAAGAGGGUGACUGCGUACCUUUUGUAUAAUGGGUCAGCGACUUAUAUUCUGUAGCAAGGUUAACCGUAUAGGGGAGCCGAAGGGAAACCGAGUCUUAAUUGGGCGUUAAGUUGCAGGGUAUAGACCCGAAACCCGGUGAUCUAGCCAUGGGCAGGUUGAAGGUUGGGUAACACUAACUGGAGGACCGAACCGACUAAUGUUGAAAAAUUAGCGGAUGACCUGUGGCUGGGGGUGAAAGGCCAAUCAAACCGGGAGAUAGCUGGUUCUCCCCGAAAGCUAUUUAGGUAGCGCCUCGUGAACUCAUCUCCGGGGGUAGAGCACUGUUUCGGCUAGGGGGCCAUCCCGGCUUACCAACCCGAUGCAAACUGCGAAUACCGGAGAAUGUUAUCACGGGAGACACACGGCGGGUGCUAACGUCCGUCGUGAAGAGGGAAACAACCCAGACCGCCAGCUAAGGUCCCAAAGUCAUGGUUAAGUGGGAAACGAUGUGGGAAGGCCCAGACAGCCAGGAUGUUGGCUUAGAAGCAGCCAUCAUUUAAAGAAAGCGUAAUAGCUCACUGGUCGAGUCGGCCUGCGCGGAAGAUGUAACGGGGCUAAACCAUGCACCGAAGCUGCGGCAGCGACACUAUGUGUUGUUGGGUAGGGGAGCGUUCUGUAAGCCUGCGAAGGUGUGCUGUGAGGCAUGCUGGAGGUAUCAGAAGUGCGAAUGCUGACAUAAGUAACGAUAAAGCGGGUGAAAAGCCCGCUCGCCGGAAGACCAAGGGUUCCUGUCCAACGUUAAUCGGGGCAGGGUGAGUCGACCCCUAAGGCGAGGCCGAAAGGCGUAGUCGAUGGGAAACAGGUUAAUAUUCCUGUACUUGGUGUUACUGCGAAGGGGGGACGGAGAAGGCUAUGUCGGCCGGGCGACGGUUGUCCCGGUUUAAGCGUGUAGGCUGACUUUCCAGGCAAAUCCGGAAGGUUAAGGCUGAGGCGUGAUGACGAGGCACCACGGUGCUGAAGUGACAAAUGCCCUGCUUCCAGGAAAAGCCUCUAAGCAUCAGGUAACAUCAAAUCGUACCCCAAACCGACACAGGUGGUCAGGUAGAGAAUACCAAGGCGCUUGAGAGAACUCGGGUGAAGGAACUAGGCAAAAUGGUGCCGUAACUUCGGGAGAAGGCACGCUGACAUGUAGGUGAAGCCCCUGCGGGUGGAGCUGAAGUCAGUCGAAGAUACCAGCUGGCUGCAACUGUUUAUUAAAAACACAGCACUGUGCAAACACGAAAGUGGACGUAUACGGUGUGACGCCUGCCCGGUGCCGGAAGGUUAAUUGAUGGGGUUAUCGCAAGAGAAGCUCCUGAUCGAAGCCCCGGUAAACGGCGGCCGUAACUAUAACGGUCCUAAGGUAGCGAAAUUCCUUGUCGGGUAAGUUCCGACCUGCACGAAUGGCGUAAUGAUGGCCAGGCUGUCUCCACCCGAGACUCAGUGAAAUUGAACUCGCUGUGAAGAUGCAGUGUACCCGCGGCAAGACGGAAAGACCCCGUGAACCUUUACUACAGCUUGACACUGAACAUUGAGCCUUGAUGUGUAGGAUAGGUGGGAGGCUUUGAAGCGUGGACGCCAGUCUGCGUGGAGCCGACCUUGAAAUACCACCCUUUAAUGUUUGAUGUUCUAACCUGGCGCCGUAAAUCCGGCGUGGGGACAGUGUCUGGUGGGUAGUUUGACUGGGGCGGUCUCCUCCCAAAAGUGUAAACGGAGGAGCACGAAGGUCAGCUAAUCCUGGUCGGACAUCAGGAGGUUAGUGCAAUGGCAUAAGCUGGCUUGACUGCGAGAGUGACGGCUCGAGCAGGUGCGAAAGCAGGUCAUAGUGAUCCGGUGGUUCUGUAUGGAAGGGCCAUCGCUCAACGGAUAAAAGGUACUCCGGGGAUAACAGGCUGAUACCGCCCAAGAGUUCAUAUCGACGGCGGUGUUUGGCACCUCGAUGUCGGCUCAUCACAUCCUGGGGCUGAAGUAGGUCCCAAGGGUAUGGCUGUUCGCCAUUUAAAGUGGUACGCGAGCUGGGUUUAGAACGUCGUGAGACAGUUCGGUCCCUAUCUGCCGUGGGCGCUGGAGAAUUGAGGGGGGCUGCUCCCAGUACGAGAGGACCGGAGUGGACGCAUCACUGGUGUUCGGGUUGUCAUGCCAAUGGCACUGCCCGGUAGCUAAAUGCGGAAGAGAUAAGUGCUGAAAGCAUCUAAGCACGAAACUUGCCCCGAGAUGAGUUCUCCCUGAGACUUUAAGUCUCCUGAAGGAACGUUGAAGACGACGACGUUGAUAGGCCGGGUGUGUAAGCGCAGCGAUGCGUUGAGCUAACCGGUACUAAUGAACCGUGAGGCUUAACCUU